UACGUAGGUGGCAAGCGUUGUCCGGAAUUAUUGGGCGUAAAGCGCGCGCAGGUGGUUCCUUAAGUCUGAUGUGAAAGCCCACGGCUCAACCGUGGAGGGUCAUUGGAAACUGGGGAACUUGAGUGCAGAAGAGGAAAGUGGAAUUCCAAGUGUAGCGGUGAAAAUGCGUAGAGAUUUGGAGGAACACCAGUGGCGAAGGCGACUUUCUGGUCUGUAACUGACACUGAGGCGCGAAAAGCGUGGGGAGCAAACAGG
rnacentral:rRNA from 1 species